AAUGGGAUCACUAGCCAUUAUCAUCUCAAAUUGCUGUUAAAAAGUCCGCUGUUUAUUUUUGCAACCAAAGCAAAUGUAUCUGGGAAAUGCAGAAGAGGGAAGAAAGGAAAACACAAGAAAGGCAGAACAAUUGAGGCGAAUCCUGUUGCAACCCCGAUGAUAAACACAUGGAAAAGGCUGUUACUGCUCUUUGGAUUGCUGGAAUUUGGGCAGACGUUAGAAAAAUAAACAAAGCGAUGGCUCCACAUCAGCUCUGUAAAUGCAAUGAUACAGUCAAUGGAAGGAGUGGAGCUAAUACAGCUCGGAGUGAGGAAGAAAUGAUCGUGUACGGUAGCAGCAAUAUUUUCCGGAGAAAUUAAACAGACCCGCAGUUCAGACAGUCUUUAAGAACAUUUUCCAGGGGGAAGGAAGUGAAAAG